GACGAACGCUGGCGGCGUGCCUAAUACAUGCAAGUAGAACGCUGAAGGAGGAGCUUGCUUCUCCGGAUGAGUUGCGAACGGGUGAGUAACGCGUAGGUAACCUGCCUGGUAGCGGGGGAUAACUAUUGGAAACGAUAGCUAAUACCGCAUAAGAGUAGAUGUUGCAUGACAUUGGCUUAAAAGGUGCAAUUGCAUCACUACCAGAUGGACCUGCGUUGUAUUAGCUAGUUGGUGGGGUAACGGCUCACCAAGGCGACGAUACAUAGCCGACCUGAGAGGGUGAUCGGCCACACUGGGACUGAGACACGGCCCAGACUCCUACGGGAGGCAGCAGUAGGGAAUCUUCGGCAAUGGACGGAAGUCUGACCGAGCAACGCCGCGUGAGUGAAGAAGGUUGCCGGAUCGUAAAGCUCUGUUGUAAGAGAAGAACGAGUGUGAGAGUGGAAAGUUCACACUGUGACGGUAUCUUACCAGAAAGGGACGGCUAACUACGUG
rnacentral:rRNA from 1 species